rnacentral:hammerhead_ribozyme from 1 species
AGCUGGCGGACGAGUCCCAAAAUAGAAGGAAAUGCGCAUCCUGGAU